AUGGCCAAUCCCCCCUUCCUGCUCACGCUCGCCGCCGUCCUCCUGCUCCUCCCGGCGACGCCGGCCAGCGCCGAGGCCGCCGCCGCCGCGCCCGUGCCCUUCGACAUCGUCAAGAUCCUGUCCGGCUUCCCCGAGUUCAGCGACUUCACCUGCAUGCUGGUCGACACGGGAGUGGCCCGCUCCAUCAACGCCCAGAAGAAGGUCACCGUGCUCGCCGCCAACAACACCGGCCUCCCCACCGCCGCCCUCCGCCGCCUCCCGCACCCGCUCCUCGGCGACCUCCUCUCGCUCCACGUCGUCCUCGACUUCCUCGACCCGGAGAAGCUCGACGCGCUGCGGCUUGGGCGCACGGGCAAGGGCUCCAAGGUCACCACGCUGCUGCCGGGAGACGAGCUGAAGCUCCUCCGCGUCGCCGGCGGCGAGAAGGGCCGCAUCACCUUCUCCUACGCCGGGCCCAUCGGGACCGGGCCGCAGCCACUGAAUGCCACGCUCCUCAGGGUCGUCACCGCGCAGGCGUUCAACGUCAUGGUGCUCCAGGUGAGCGGCCUCGUCCUCCCGGGGAUGAUGCCCGCCACGACCGCCUCCCCAUUCGACGUAAUCAAGAUCCUCUCCUCCUACCCGGAGUACAGCGCCUUCAGCUCCCUGCUCACCCAGACCGGGCUCGCGCGCGCCAUCAACGAGCACCCCAUUGUCACCAUCCUCGCCGUCAACAACACCGCGCUCUCCAACGAGCUCCAAGGCCUGCCGCGCCUCCCUAUGCCGGCGCUCGCCGACCUGCUCGCGCUCCACGCAGUCCUCGACUUCCUCGACCAGGAGAGGCUCGACGCGCUGCGCCAGGGCCGAACGGGCGACGGAUCCAUCGUCACGACGAUGCUCCAGGGGACCGGAGCCGGCGCGCGGGGCCGCGGCGUCGGGUUCGUCCGCGUGUCCGGAGGCGACACCAGCCGCAUCACGUUCUCCUCUGGCGCGCCGGGCGGGGGCGCGCGACGCAACUCCACGCUUGUCAAGGUGGUCACCUCGCAGGCGUUCAGCGUGCUGGUGCUCCAGGUGAGCGACCUCAUCCUCCCGCCUGGCAUCGUCGCGCCCGCACCCGGACCGCAGAUCCCGAGGGCUAGGCACAUGUCGCUGCCUCCCACCCCGGCCCCAGCGCCGAUGCAGCAGGUCCCGUCCCCGGGCAUGCCGGAGCCUGAACCGGAAGUGCCGGACACCACGCCGCCGCCAUCUACGGUCAUCCCGAUACCAAGUGUGCACGGCGGCGUGGCGGCCAAGAUACCAGAAGCCGCGGCCGGACGCGGAGCGGUGGGGAGCUGGUGGAGCGGUGCCGGUGCGGCGUUGGGGAUCAUGGCCUGCCUGCUUGGACGUUUGUAA
rnacentral:rRNA from 1 species